rnacentral:piRNA from 1 species
UGACGGAAAAGAGGUAGACAAGGGAA